UAUCUUCCACUAGCUGAAGGAACCUCAAAUGCUUGAAUAUGUGCCUCAGCUACAUCUUUAACAUUAACCCAUCCAAAGGAUGCAUUGGGAAAUGUUUGUCCUCCUGUAUUAGGGGGAAAAAUGCAUGAACAAAGAAAAGAAAAAUCUCAUGUUAUACUACUGCCAAAACCUUAAGCUUCUGCAUCAAAUAUUUUGAGAAGAACUUGAAUGGUUUUAGAGCAAAUUGAAUAUUCAAAUUGUACUAUAUAAAUUUCUUUUAUUUUCCAUUCUUCUCUCACAAAAUGGUAUAAUAUAAAUCAGGGAAGAGAGAAAGAGGUUAGCAUAGAAUUACUAAGGCUUCCUAAUGAACAAAAAUAAUUGGCAAGCACAUAUUUCAGAAUACUGCUGAAUUACGAGUUGCCCUUUUUGAGGAUUUAAUGAGAAGGAUAUUUAUUUAACGAAACAGAGAUAUACCAUUUAUGAGAUUCAAAAUUGCAGCAGCACUUGUAUUAAGUGUUGGCUGUAAAAGAGGACCAAUCACCAUUGCUGGGUUUAUAGUGACCAUGUCAAUACCCUUCUCUUUUGCAAAUUUCCAUGCAGCAUCCUCAG
rnacentral:lncRNA from 1 species